UGCAACAGGAGUACCCACUCAGGCCCUUGGUCCUGGAGGCCGCCAAAGGCCUAUUGGAUUUUUCUCCUGCCAACUGGAUAUUGUGGCCAGAGGACGUCCCACUUGUCUUCGGGCCGUCUGUGCUGCCAAAGAGCUCAUUGAAAGAACUGGAGAUCCUGUCCUUGGCCACCCCCUGGUUGUCUUGGCCCCUCAUGACAUUUCUGCCAUAGUCAACCAGGUCCAACUUAAGCAUGUUACUCCUGCUAGGCAUCUUCGCCUUCAAAAUCAUCUUUUGUUGCCUGACAACAUUACCCUUCAAAGAUGUCAAGUUCUCAAUCCGUCCACUCUUCUGCCACUCCCUGAGGGGGGUGUAUACUACGGAUUCAUCAUGGACGAAACUUAUGUUUUUCUUCUCACUGGCACCAUCAAGAAGGAAAUGCAUCCCAAC